GACAGAGGGUGCAAACGUUGUUCGGAAUUACUGGGCGUAAAGCGCGUGUAGGCGGCCCUGCAAGUCGGAUGUGAAAUCCCACGGCUCAACCGUGGAAGUGCAUUCGAAACUGCAGAGCUAGAGUCCUGGAGAGGAAGGUGGAAUGCUUGGUGUAGAGGUGAAAUUCGUAGAUAUCAAGCGGAACACCGGUGGCGAAGGCGGCCUUCUGGACAGUGACUGACGCUGAGACGCGAAAGCGUGGGGAGCAAACAGG
rnacentral:rRNA from 1 species